CUGCUUCUGUCCCACUAGAAUUGCUAGCACCCGUCCAUAUGGUAAAGUCAUAGGAGGAAAUUUUUGAAAUUCUUUGGUGGCCAAGAACAUUUGAACUGAAGUCCAAUGCUUCAUUGAAAUUCAGAAAAUAAACAGAUCCACCAAGAUCUCCCGAUCCAAGAGUAGUCACCAUGUUUUGAUAUUGUUAAGCAAUAGCAAAUCAUAAUCAAGCUGAAAACUGGAAACUAUUGAAAGAAAAUGAGUUUUAAAAGGAAAGAUAACAUAUUACUCGAAUUACUGUCGAAAAAUAAUGGAAAAAAAUUGAUGUAGAACUUAUGUGGAUACAAUGCAUUUUGACAAGGAUUAUGAUCAGCAACUUUAUGAGAAUACGCUCCGAGUUUCAAUAUGGAAGAAACACUUGAAGGAAACCUAGUUGAUACCCCUGUGGAAGUCCAAAUGUUUCCCGGAACAAUGUUGCACUCUGACUUACUUUUCAUACUGAUCGGGAAUACAGGCUGUGGUGUUGAACUGAAUCCGUAGCCAAGAUGAUGCCCGAGAUUUCCAACUCCAUAAAGGCUGGAAAAAAAAUAUACAUAUAUACAUAUGCAUAACCAUUUUAACUUGAC
rnacentral:lncRNA from 1 species